AUGCUCAGAAGGAGAAUGCCUGUUAUAAGUUAUAGGCACCAACUGCACGGAGCGGCCGCAGCGAGCGGGAGGAGUCCGACCCCGAACUACAACUCCCAGAAGGCACCGCGGGAACACCCGUCCUCAGCAGCCAAUCAGCGUGCGCGCUGCCGUCCUAUAAAAGCUCACGGCGGGCCGCCCUCCGUCUCUCUUAGCGAUGGCGGCUGGUGGGUGCGUCGGCUGCUAUGCGGAGGCAAUCCGCCGCCAUCCGCCCUCUGUCGAGGCCAUCCCGCCUCACAGCCCCGCCGCGUUGGUGCCCCGGGGGCUCGGCGGAAUGACGUGGCUCCCUCCGUGCUGAUGGGGCCGAGGCCGCAGUGGGGAGCGGUGUGGAGAUGCUGCUCAUGGAGGCGGUGCUGGGCAGGAUUUCUCGCUGUUUGGAGCUCACUGCCUGCCUGCCGAUAG
rnacentral:lncRNA from 1 species